GCCGGUGUGGCUCAGUGGGUAGAGCGCCGGCCGGCGAAUAGAAGGAUCCCGGGUUCGAUUCCCGGUCAAGGGCA
rnacentral:tRNA from 1 species